AGGACAGGUGGCGGCUGCAGUUAGCAGCCAUUUGUCCUGAGCAAAUUAAAGCCUAAGUCCAAGGGCCACUUGAAGCACCUACUAAUAUAUGCUUGGAGAACCCGUGAAGCAAUGCUUUUGCACAAUGGGUGUUACAGAGCAGAGGAAGUUGGAGUCAAAGAAGGAAGGAUGCCCUCUUAAAAACCAGGAAAUGAGACUCCAGGAUGCCAACUGCUCACCACCAAGGAUCAGGCUGAUAAAGUGCUCUGAUAAGCUGCGAGGUGCUGGUGAAAAGUGGCUAGCCCUCAGCCCCCAGGGCUACAGUAUGAAAGAGUGGCUUGUCUGGAGCAAAGCAGAACAGAAGAGAUGAUGAGGCCAGAAAAAAGCUUGGAAAACUGCAAGAAGAAAAAAAAAGGCCAGAAGAAAGGAACUGGAUUAAUGAUGAAGUGGCCUGGGUGCAGUGUGUGUGUCUGUGUUCGUGCAGGAAUGCUGCAGCAGUCAAACGCUUGCAGAUUAUGGGUCAUUUCCUGACAGUUAAAGGCAAACUACUACAGCAGUAAUUCCUCCACACACCAGGCGUUAAACCACAAGUGCUGCAGCUUCUCCAUUUGCCUCUUCAUGAUUUUAUUGUCCUAAAAUGUGACUGCAGGAUUCAAAUUUACUCACAGGAAGUUGACUUCAACAUAUUAGCAUUUUAUUUGUUAGAUGAUUUGGCUCGUAAUGUAUUUUCUUGAGCACAUGCAGUUUUCUUAUUUGUCAUCUCUACUUACUCCCAGUGUAUCUUUUGGAUUAUAUUAUCAACACUGGCUCAGGUCUGUUUAUGGUAUAUUUACUUUGGUAAUCCAGGUGCAAGCUAAAGCAUUAUAUCCAGAUUGAACUGCUUACAUGUAUUUUUAAGAUCAGACUGUACAUGUUUUUAAAAAAAUCUUUUGAUAUUUUUGUUUUGACUUGUGAAAACAGGGACACACAUUUAUAAUCACUGUCCAAUGAAAACCUUUUAUCUCCAUGUAUCUUCAGAGUAAUGUAUUUAUUAAUUUUUGUUAAUCUGAAUCAUUUUAGUGUCCUUUAUAGUUUUGA